CAACAACUGAUACAGCCAAUUCAGGUACCGGGCAAAAUAACAGUUAUAUACAAUGCAGAAUGUUGGACUGCCUGGGGCAACAGUUUUUUAUGCAAUCCGAUGUCAACAGAAAAGAAUAUAUAUCAGUAUAUACGGUUAUUAUAAUUGUUCUUUAUUUUCUAGCUGAAAUCAUAUCAACACGCUGGAGGUCAAUACGUGAUAGGAUUAUGCGUGACCUCAAUCAUGAACGAACGGUGCCAAGUGGUUCGGGUCCUUCUCGGAGGAAAGCUUACCAAUAUGCACCACAUCUUCAAUUUCUUCAACGUUGUUUUCAGCAGCGCACGACUCAUUCAAGCACACUCCCUCCUGAAGCAGAACCU